AGGGCACCACCAGGAGUGGAGCCUGCGGCUUAAUUUGACUCAACACGGGAAAACUCACCCGGCCCGGACACUGGAAGGAUUGACAGAUUGAGAGCUCUUUCUUGAUUCAGUGGGUGGUGGUGCAUGGCCGUUCUUAGUUGGUGGAGUGAUUUGUCUGGUUAAUUCCGAUAACGAACGAGACUCUAGCCUACUAAAUAGAUCGUCGGCUUACAAACGCCGGCGAGACUUCUUAGAGGGACAGGCGGUGAUUCAACCGCACGAAACAGAGCAAUAACAGGUCCGUGAUGCCCUUAGAUGUCCGGGGCCGCACGCGCGCUACACUGAAGUGAUCAGCGUGCUUUUUCAACCUACUCUGUCGAGAGUGGGGAACCCAAUGAACCUUCUUCGUGAUUGGGAUAGGGGAUUGUAAUUAUUCCCCUUGAACGAGGAAUUCCCAGUAAGCGCGAGUCAUAAGCUCGCGUUGAUUACGUCCCUGCCCUUUGUACACACCGCCCGUCGCUACUACCGAUUGAAUGUUUU
rnacentral:rRNA from 1 species